rnacentral:siRNA from 1 species
UAGUGUACAGAUGUAAGUGUACGC